rnacentral:lncRNA from 1 species
GAGGAGUAAUUCAACAACUCAAGGGAGCAACAACAACUCAACGGGGAGCAGGCAUCUCAAGUUAUAUGAAAGGGAAGCAUACUUGUUUACUCUCUCUUUAGUGUCAUCAUCAAAAAAUGGAAGAUUAUUACAUCUAAGUUUCAAUAAUGACUGCAAAGCUAAAUCCUAUCUACUUUGAUUGCAGGAACCAAGGCACCACCAAGGGCAUCAACAAAUAGGAAAUAAGAUCAAAUAUUUAAUAAUGCUAAAUCAAAGGAAGUCAAGCCAUCAAAAAGGAAGUCAAGAUCUGAUGAUGCUAAAUCAAAGGAAGUCAAGCCAUCAAAAAGGAAACCAAAUCAGUCUCGCUAUCUUAGUGAAACUGUCUAACAAGGAAGCAUAUCACGUGUAGCUCGAAAAUAUCGGGCAUCUUCUCCAAGGCUAUAUUAGAAGGCUGACCAACCAAAUUGAAGCCUCAAAUCACUCCAUGAAAUGAAUACAUAAAAAGGAAAGACAUAAACGAAUCUAACCCAUCUGUAAUGCAGGAUUCGCAGGCACCUCUUGGGUCAAAUAUCUCAGAGGAUUCAGUGCAUCAAUCAAGAUCAAUCUGCAAUGGUCCUCAAACUCUCGUAUAAGAAGAUUGCCAAUUUCAAGAAGAAGAGUCAUGAAACUACAAACAUUGUCUUCUAAGUCUCUCUAGUUCUUAGCACAAACACUGUAUUCUUGAGUUUACAAGUAUUACAGAAGAUAGGAAGAGUUAGAACACAAAAAAGAGUUACGUCAACAUCCAGAAAUUACUGUUGCUAAUCAUCGUUGGUGGUGAACGAACUAACUAUCACUGUUGUAAUUUUUUAUCAAGAUCUAAGAGAACCUUUGUGAUCCAAGGGAAACUGGACAUAAGUACCACACCAGUACUGAACCAAUAUAAAAAUUGUUGUGUCUUG